GCGUAGGAAUCUACCUAAGUGUGGGGAUAACAUGGAGAAAUUCAUGCUAAUACCGCAUACGCCUACGGGUAAGAGGCCUCUUCUUGAAAGACUCUUGCAUUUAGAUGAGCCUGCGUCGGAUUAGCUAGUUGGUGGGGUAAAGGCCUACCAAGGCGACGAUCCGUAGCUGGUCUGAGAGGAUGAUCAGCCACACUGGGACUGAGGCACGGCCCAGACUCCUACGGGAGGCAGCAGUGGGGAAUAUUGGACAAUGGGCGCAAGCCUGAUCCAGCAAUACCUCGUGUGUGAAGAAGGCCCUAG
rnacentral:rRNA from 1 species